GCAAGGAGAACAGUUAGGAGGCUACCACAAUCAUUCCAGACAAAGAGGAUGGUGACUGGGGUCAGGAGACCGAAGAGGUAGCUGUGGAGGUGAUGAGACAUGGCCAGGUUCUGAAACUGUUUUGAAAGAAAGCCAGCAGGCUUGCUGAUAGAUGUGACAUGGGAUGUGAGAGGAAUAGAGAACCGAGCCAAACUCCAGGUUUCUGGCCUGAGCAACUGGAAGGAUGGACUUGCCUUAACUGAGAUAAGGAGGAUGGUGGGAGCAGCAAGUUUCGAAGCAAGACAGGAUGGCUGUAUUCCUGGCCAUCGCUCUGUUUUUCAAGCACUUGCUUCCUGGCACGAGAAGAUGCUUCACGCUCACCCUGUAGAACCCUUUCUCAGUCCUAGGAUCAGCCGUUUCUCUAAGGUACUGUGCUUCCUUUUAUUGGAGAACAGUAUUAGAAACCAAGGUCUGGGCAUGACUAAGGAAUUAUGGAGAUAACCUCCAGCUCUGAAACAAUAGGAUCCUGGACUUAGGAUAAAAGUAGUUCCGAAGUCAUUAGGUUAUUGGGAGCAUGAAAUGAGAUCUGCCAUGUUCCAUACAUACUAGUGGGGUGUUUCUCUCCUCUUCCCUCUGGUUUCUGAUUGGGUUUGUUUUUCUUGGCUCUCCCAAUCCCAACUCAGAAGAAGAUAUCUGUGGGGCUUUCCCACCCAGUACCUGGAAAAACAUCCAGAAUUUCCUUUGUGGAACCCCACACCCCCAAGGGGCCCAUGGGAGUUAGGCUCAGAAGCUUUCAUCAGCUGUUGGAGCGGGGAAGCUCUCUCUUCUUUGCUGGACUCAAGUUGGGCUAGAAACCAUCUGGCAACCAGGAGGAAGGGACCCAAGAGUAUCCAAGACACACAGAAGUCCAGGCUGAGCCCUCUCUCCACCCUGCAGGUGGGCUGGGGCUGAGGGGAGAGUGGGGGGCAUGCGGAUUCGGGGGACCUGGAAGCAGCACAAGGACACGUCUCUCUCUGGCAGGGGUUGGGUUGGUCAUGGGAGGGUGGCGUUUGCUCGUUCUCAGCCCCGGGUGCUCUCCAGGCAUAGCCAUCACGCCCCCAGAUGGGAGGAGAAUGACUCAGGCACGCCCUCUCCCUGUGGGGGCAGAGUUGGGGUGGCAAGUGGAGCAAGAAAUGCCACAUCAUAUGGCUGAGGAGUGAUCCGGGGCAGUGUUCCCCGGGGCAGCAGCACAAGCACACGCCCAGCCCUAACCCUGCCCACCCAGACCAGAAGCGCUCCAGCCCUUCAGUUCCCUCGUAACGCAUGUUUCAGAUGCAUUGUUUUCUCCACUGGAUUAAAGAGUCAUUCAUUUAAGGCGCUCUGAUGGUUAUUUCAUGUCUCCCAAAGCAUAUUUUUUCUCAGGAAGAUCAGUUCCAAGGAAACACCCGGAGUCUGUGGAAAUUAAACCUAUUAGCAAGUGAAAAAUGGCCAAUUGCUAAAGGUAAAGGUCUUUGACUAAGAAUAAGCAAUAUGAAAGCUAACUGGCUGUCCUGUUGUGGGCCCUAGAGUGGGAUUUAUGUAGGGGCUUUAUCAGUCUUGCUAUUUUAUUUUUCCCCAGUGGUUGAAAUGAAACUUUAUUUCUGAGUCCUGAGAGGAGGAUUAAAGGAGGCUCAUUCUAGAGCAAAUCAGCCCCUCCUGGUGGAAAGGGGGCCCUCACGGAUCACCCCCAAAGGGAUCUCUGUUCCUUAAACCCAGUGGCUAUGUUGGGAACAGCCUCAGGUUCCCACAGCCCCCCUCUACCCACCCACUGCAGUUGGUUUGGGCACCCAACAGGGACAGUGGGGAUCAAGGAACCCUAAAAUGCCACCUCAGCACCACUGUUUAUCAAGAAAGGGGGACAUUCGGGGAUUCUGAACUAGCAAAGACCAUUUUUAGAGGCCAUGGGGGAGGAAAAGGGGGGAAAGAAAUGUUCCCCUAGUUCUAGAACACCUGAAAAAAGGGGUGAUUUCUGAAGAUUCUGAGUGCUGGAAAGGGGCAAAGGCCCAAAGCUUCAUAUGAUGCUAGGAUCCCCACAAAAAAAUUGACACCUUUUAGAAAUAAGAUCAGCUCCCAGCCACUGGCAGCUUAUUAUGUGACCAGUCCUGUGCUAAAAGCUUUGCUAAAAGCUUUACAUGUAUUACUUCAUUUAAACUGCAUAAUAACCCAAUGACACCAUAACGUGACAUGUAAAAUGACACCUUUACAGUGGGGGAAACUGAGGCUCAAAGAGGUAAAGCCAUUUGCUCUAAAACACCCAAAAGCUGUGAUGUGAUUCAAACCUAGGUGGUCCUUAUAUUAUGCCUUUCAAUAAGUAGUCAUCUAAUUCUUACUUGCAUACCCCCAAGGACAGGGAGCUCACCACUCACCAAAGUAGACCAUUCCAUCUUGACAGCUUUCACUGUUGGAAAGCCCUUCAGGCCACAUUGAGGAUAGUUACUCCUUCCCUGUGGCAGCCCUUCCUGUAUUUGAAGACAACUUGUGUCUCCACAGGGUUUUUCAUCUCCAGGUUUUACGGUCCCAUUGCCUUCACCAUUACUCAUCACACAUCCUUCACGAAGCUUGCUGCUCUGACAAAGCUUGAGGAUCCCGCCUCCUUUUACCUUGUUGGACAAAGCUGGAGGCAGCUCUCCAAGGAAGAGCUUACAGGGGAGAACAGUGCCAAACUCAUAAUAGCAGCAACAAUUGCAGCGGAAUUAAACACAACUUUGCACCAUCCCACCCCUGCGAUUAAGCUGUAGCCGCAGUGCUCAGCCAGAAUGCGCAGAGCUCUCCCUCUCCCCCCCUCUCCCCCCUCCCUAUGAGAUAGCAGGUGCUCACAAGCAGGGGAGCUCACACCUCUCAGGGAACAGCUGGGCUCACUCUGUGAGGUGGGAUCAUGGGCUCUGCAUCAGAGGAGUCACAGCAGGUCUGUGCCAGGUCCCUCAGGCUUGUGCUGACAUAUGGUGGCAGGGCUGGGAAGAGUUCAUGCAUCUUCAAGCCUCCUGUCAUGAGACGCAUUCUACCUUAGAGUCAAAUCAGUGUGGGAGAGGGGCCAGCAGCCAUUUUCUGGAUGUCUGUAGUCUGCAGGGGAAACAAACACUGUCCAGCUGGACCUGCUGAUGUGGGAGGCACCAUGGCCAGUGGGGAAAUCAUGGCCCUUGAGGUUGGGCAGAUCUGAGUGUGAAUCCUGGCUCUUAAGAGCUGUGUGACCCUGGGCUAGUCACUCAGCCUCUCUGGGCCCCAGUUUCCUCACCAGACACGUGGAGCUGAUAAUAAUCACCUUUCAGGGAUUGUUUCACUUUUAGAGUCAAAUGAGAUCUUCAACGUGAUGGCCUGGAUGCGUGCCUCACAUACGUAUAUAUAUGCCUUUCCUCAUAAAUCAAUGGUGAGAAAGAUGCAGAGAAUGCUAGGAGUUUAGACAGCUGCACAUAUGAAUUUCUACUUUUUCCCCUCUUACCUCACAUUGGACCAGGCCUCUAGCUCACCUGGCUCUUUAUACAGAAUGUUCCCCUGGCCCAGGCACCUCCACGCCCUCCCAGAUUUUCUGUGCCAUUCCCAGUGGCUCCACCUCUGUCUCCAGGCUCCGCCCACUCUUCUUUGUCCCCACCUUUAGGGACUGAACUUUCUCCAAUGCCCUCAGGUCAUCUCCCUCACUCAAAUACAAAUUCCCUGUUUAGGGAGACCAUGGCGAGGUCAUCUCUACAUUGAAACCAGGCGUAUGCCAGGCCCCCGAGGGAUGUGUGUGGGCCAUGGGGUUUGACCCGGAUGGCAGGGAGGGCAGCUCUGCUCCUCUGCCUUCCACCUGCCCGGUACUUCACCAAAGACCAAAUCCAGCUGGAUGGACCAGGAACCCAGUACACACCCCAGAUCCAAGGAGAAGAGCAGACCAAGGACCAGCUGUGAUGAGUGGGGAAAACGGUGCCUGAAACUUAGCAUCAAAAGGGGCUGGAGCAUGGAAUGGGAGCUCUCAUGUGGUGAGAGACAGUGGACAGAGCAGGGAUUCCAGCUGACCCAUGUGCAUCAUUACCAGGUUUGUGGGAGUCACUGUGCCCAGCACAUAGUAGGCACUUCGUAGAUAUUUAUUGAAAGAGUGAAGUAGAUGCUCAACAAAUGGUGGCUUUCAUUGUUAUUCUAGUAAUCACAUGGUCUCGAGGGGGAAAAGAUGCCCAUUGUCCCAGAUACAUCUGGUAGAUGAGCCAGCGCUCACGCCCCCUGGCCCGAGGGUCAAGGAGGACCUAAAGGCCAAAUUUUCUCUGAUGACCUGACCAGUGGAUAUUUCUACAUGGGCACUGGAGCCACUGCCAGCCAUAAUACGCCAGCCAGUAUGCACUUUCCUUCCUGCAGCAGUGGGCUGCCAGGCCAUGACAACUCACUGCCUGGCCCCCACCUCCUAAAUUAGAGAUCAGGGAGGAACUUGCAUCCAUCCUGCUUGCUCAGUGACCAAAAUUCACUCUGAGAGCAAGACUGGUCGGUUUCACUGUGCCCAUAGGCAGGAGUGGAAUAGGGUUUACAGGCAGGCAGAGCUGUGGAGUCAGAGACCAGUUGGGCAGCUGGAGAUGAUGAUGGGACCAUAAAUAAGCCUCCAUUCUGCAGGGUUGUCAUGAAUGUUAGUGGAAAGCGCCUGACACAGUGCCUGGCAUACAGUGGGCUCUCCCGAGAUGGUAGCUGUCAUCCGUAGUGCAUGGAUGGAGCUGAGAUAUUUGAAAUGGAAUCUCUCAGCUGCCUGGCCUCGCAUCUCUUGGCCCAGGAGCUGGGUCCAGUCUGUUCAAGGAGAUGAAAACGACAAACUCUCAGGCUGCACAGAAAAUGUGCUAAUGGUGAGUUGCAGGGGCAGUGGGUCCCUUGUGCAGAGGGUGAGAUGUUCACAGCAGUAGAGAAAGACAAGAGGGCAGGAUUAGGUAAGUGACAGGCACUAACCUUUUCUGUGUUCAACAUGUGCUCCAUCCAAUUUGAAGAGGAAGGUAACCUUUAAAGGCUAUGUCUUCUUCUCAAAAUAAAUAAAGUUGAUGGCAUCCAAGUAACACAUGGUGACUGAAUUCUCCCAGGUCAACCUUUUCCCCCUCUGAUAUAUUCUCCAGAUGGAAUUUGAACUGGAUGUAAAAUGCGUCAGCAGUAUGCUCUGUUCACGUGGGAGACAGAGCACAUGUAUUUCAUUUGGAGUGAGACUGACAGCCACUUUGGAUCAGCAAAUGUGGCUUUUCAGUGCAAGUGGUGAGGGGUGGGGCUCUAAAAAGCAAAGCGAGCCACAGGGCAAAUCAGCCUCCAGCUUUUCAAAGGCAGUGCUUCGAGCCUGAAUGUUUCUGGCACAGAAUCCAGAGGCGAGAUAAAACAUCACCCCAGAGAGUAUGGGGGUGGGGGGGCACAUCUGAGCAGGGGCCUGGGCAGGGCCGGACUCCUGGGUGGGAUGGUGAUCUGGUAAGCUGUUGCUGUCUCUCCCUAGUCUCAGGGUCCCCGAUGUGUAAAAUAGAGCUAUUGGGCCAAUUGGCGUCUAAGGCACCUUCUGAGUCAAACAUGAUAAUAAGUCUAGGUGAGGCCUGGCCGGAGGAUGGUAAGUGAGCAGGGUGUGGAAAGGAGUCGGGAAGGACCACCAUGAUGAACGUGCCAUUGUCUUUACCACUUCAGUCCAGGAUCCACGUUCAGCCACCAGCCCCUGCAGUUGCCUGGGGGGUUUUCUCUGGUCACCAAAUCCCAUUCCAAUGCCCUGUGUGGCAGAAUUUAACCAUCUGGGCAAUAAUGCCCUUGCCCUGGGAAGAGCCCUCCGCCAGUGCCGAGGUAGCAGGCGCUAUAUAUAAACAACCAGCUCCCGCACUGCCCUGGUGGGUGGUUUCCCAUCCGAUCACCCUCUGGCCACCCACAGUGGUAAUUGAGGUGAUAAAACGGCCUUUAUUGGAGGGCUUACCCUCCUGUCUCACCUCUCCACUGCCCUCACAGGUUUUCUUCACCUCCCAACAUAAUCGCAGACACUGACUCCUUGUCAUAGGUUCUGCCACCAGGGAACCCCAAACUAAGAUGAUAACUGAGAAACAGAGAGGGGCACAGGGGCAUUCUGGGAGGGUGCUCAUCCCAAGGGUAUGUCCAGUUAGUGGGAGUUCUUUGAGCUGUACGCUUACAGUGUGCAUGCUUUCCUUUAUAUAUAUAUGUUACAUUAUGGCAUAACGAAUGUGUGUUUAUAAAAAAGAACAGGACCCUUUUUUACUGAGAUGCCCGGAAUAUGCUGGAGGGGUGAGGUGGCAGGAGUCACACUGGACAGAUACCCAGCACCCAGAGCACAUGUACAAAGACGUUAAUUUUGUCAAAUGAUGUGUGAACGAAUGAAUUAAUUAGAAAAUACAUGAACCAUUGAGGAAAUGAAUAAAGCAAAGAAUAGUGAAUAAAUGCAUGAAUGAGGCAAUGAACGGAUGAGCACAUUCAGCAGUGAGUGUAUCAAUGAGUCAAUGAAAGAAGGAAUCCCUGGUGACUGAGUGAGGA